GCGCUCUUGGUGUAACGGUAACACACAGCACUCAACGAUAACCGCUCAGUCGGGGGUUCGACUCCCUCAGGGCGCC